AAAGAACAGAAUUUAUACUGAGUAGAUGUUACGUAUCAGCUAGAGUUUUAUAUAUUGUAGAAUCUCCCUCCAUGAUUGGGAAAUGCUCGAGUGGGGUUUAAGCAUUCACAUGGUAAUACAUGUCGCAGAAUAUAAGUGUAUAGGUUAAUUGUGCAAGUCGUCAAAGAAACCGUAGGAUAAAAUAACAAGCCGAUAAGAAAUUCUAUAUUGUUAAUUCUGCUAAUACACAUUUCAACAAAACGAGAGCUUUGCGCAUAAUUAAGGAGGGCGGGUGGUAAAAACGGAAAAAAUAGUUUACAAGAAGCAAUCCGUAAAAAAUGACCAAUCAUGUAUCUUGGUUGAUCGUUCUUGAAGCUUGUCUUAUCAAUAAAGUGCAAUAGAAGAUGAAGAAGAGUGUAUUUCAUGUAUUCCAAUGUAAGGAACGUGCGUGUAAUUUUAUUCUGUGCGUGCGCAAUGAUUCUUUUUAGUCAAAAAGAAGCGAGAACCGAGAACACGUUCCAAAUCGUAGAGCAGCCUGAUACAAUGUCACUGACACAGCUGAAUGCGAGAUAUGCGUAAAUUGAAUGACAUUUGGGGGAAAUGAACAAAUUUAUACACUUGUCAGUUAAUUCCAGAAAUAACUUCAAAGCUUAUUUUUACUGAUGCACUUAUAAAUAUGUAUGUGCAUAUCGUAAAAGGGAGAAAUAUCUGUGUCUAAAUUCAUCAUUAUUAUACUUUUCUUCUAUUUAUACACUAAUAGAUGCGUUAAUUAAAAACACAUCAAUACUUAGUCAUUCAACGUCACCGGUAUCAUGACGCUAUCGACUGACAAUAAAAUUAUGUCAAGUCACGAUUGAGAUUACAACCGUUUGUGAUAUUAUUACUCAUGUUCACUUCAAUGUUGCCAUAUACCCCGAUCUCACAUUCUGUUCAGUAUUUCUUGUGAAAUUAUCAUUUUUUUUAUUGUUCAGUUUAGUUAUACGAAAAGAAAAGAAAUAUUUUAUGUCGUUAAUUUUAAGAGUGAUAGUACAAUUCUUUCGGUCGACACUAGAAGGGUUAAUCAUUCAGGUGGAACAAAUUUCAGAUGGAGAAUUGCUAGAGAAACAGAGGCUCUCCCUCAUUUCUUAAGUUGAAACAGCACAUCAAUUUUUCGUGACUUGAAUGUCGGUUACAUAAUUUGUUUAUUCCAUAUUAAAGAACUAUUUUCUAUUUUCUUGAAAGGAAAGAGACGAGGCGUUGAAAUAUGGUGAAAAUAAACAUAUCGUUGAGCAAGAACUAUUUCAUUAUAAGUUCAUAACGGAAUGGAAUGUACAAUAUUGCAUGCGAAUAUCUCUUUUGUCCUUUUAAAAUUUAUCCAAUUCAUAAAUAUUCAUUUUACUUACAUAUGGAUAACAAAUAAUUAAAUAUUCGUCUCAUUUACACGUGUAUGUAGCAACAUAAAGGGGAAAAAUAAAUAUAUAUAGAAUUUUUAAGUAAAUAAUGUUUUAUUGUAUGUUUGCACGUUUACAUAUUAACGUUAGGUUACCAUCAUUACUUCUGUUAAUAGAAAUAUUAUUAUAUUAAAUAAAACUAAAUAGAAAUGUUUUCUAUCUGUUUAAUUUAGCUCUAUACUAUAUGUACAUAUAGGGAUUGUUCGAAAUCAUGGUACAAGCGGUCGGCUCGUAGGAAAUUAAUUGAUUGAAACAAAAAUUAAUUGAAACAAAAAAAUUAUAAUUUUUCUUUAAGGCUUUGUUUUUGAGAAAAAUGAGUUUUAAGAUGCGUCAGGUGUCCGUGUAUUAAUUGUAAGUUUCGAGAUAUCCGACCUCUUUUUCUGCUCGUGCUGAUAAUAAUAUAAUUAGAGCUAUAUGCAGCAUCGUGGUCAACAUUUUAAAUAAUUUUUACGUUAAUAAAACGAUUUUUAAAAAGAGAAACUCUCACCUCUAUUUAUGAAACUAUUCUCAGUGCGGACAUCGCGGAAAUAAGAUAACAGUAAUAUAGUAGGAAGCAAACGUGAAAUUAUCUAUGUUUAUAAAUAUAAACAGGAGCAGAAAAAGAAGUCGGAUAUCUUGAAACUUACAACUAAUACAGAUGCAGUAGGCGGAUCUUCGAAGAACCAAGGCCUUAAGGCUUUCGUUUAAACGAAACAAUGUUAUUUUUUCUUUUCUACUUACAUGUGCAUGUAGAAUAGCCACCCGACUGCUUGUAUCAUGAUUUCGGGGAUACGCUGUAUGUACAUACAUAUUAUAAUCAUACAGAUAUCCUACCACAGAUAUAAAGCGCAUUUCUUUUUAUCAACAUCUUUUGAUGAGCGUUUAAAGGUAUAAAAACGAAAUUUAUUUUUGUCUUUUAAUGUUUUCUCUGAUUUUCGUCUGCAUAUCUACAAAUAAUUCUGGCAAUGAGUAUUUCUUUAUAAUUCUAAUAAUUUUAUAUUUUAAUAUUUAUUUAUUUAUAGUUGUACUAAAUUAUUAGCAAUCUCAUUAAAUUACUAUGAUUCUUGUAAAUUGUUAGAUCUGAUAAGAACUACUUGAUCAUUGACAGUUAGCUACCGAUUAAGAAUUGGAACACUUAGCAUUAGUUCGUUUCAAAAAUGUCUAUUUCAAUGGGCGAGAAUGUAUUUCAUAUGCAGAUAUUUGGUCAAUAGACCAUUUCUCGAUGAGAUUUGUAUUAUGUCUCAAAAUACUAUACAUUUUGUCAAGUAUCGAGUAUUUUGUUAGUAAAAUAUACUUUUUAUGUAUUCUCUUGGAAAUUUAACGGGAACAAUAUAAAAAAGAUCGUUUUCAUUCAUUGAGAACUAAAUGUGUACACGUUAACAUAAGAUAGCCGUAUCUUACUUUAAAAUUUGAACGGUACCAAACGCUUUGUUGAAUGGCUUGCUGACUUCUCAACUAGACCGAUAUACUACUUACUGUACCCAAUAUUGUGAAUGGCGCUCUGCUCUUUGCGUAUUUUUGAAUGGCACCUUGCCAUUGACAAUGGUAGUUCUUAGAAAUAUAUACACGUAGUAUUAUUUUUUUCUACUUUAUAAUAUUUAUCAUAUUUAUUGUACUGUUACAUUGUAAUUCAUAGCAACUACAUAACUUAAUACGAUUUGAUUAAGGAUAAAAAAGAAAAUACUAAUAUGCAUAAUAAUUAUGACACUAAAAUGAUAUAUUUUAAUGUAUUAUGUUGCCUUGAUGUUUUCUCGAAAUAUUAUUAUAUUAAAUAAAACAAAUCUUUUCUUAUUUGAUAUUUGAGGAAAUUUCACUGUUCUUUAAAAAGAUUCAAUAGGAAUUAAUUCUUUAUUUAUUGUUUGUAGAAUCAUAUUCCAAUUUUUAGCAACGAUUAGAAUAGAAUAUAGGCAUAUUCUUCAAAAAUACAAGAAUAUUUUAACGAACAUCUAUUUUAACACAUCAUUUAGUAGCAUUUUUUGUUGUUGUGCAAUAAAAUAAAAUACUAAAAAUUAUAUGUGUAGAUAGGUUACUUAUAAUUAGUAUACAGAUAGAUUAAAAAAUAAAUAAAUUGAGAUAGGAAAUAAAAUAUUUAAUAUUUCAUAAAAAUAUUAAUGAACGAAAAAUGACUUACAAAAAGGUAUAAAUUUAUUGUCAGUAAUUAAAGUUAUUAUAAUUUUUAUAAAUCUAAUAUAUGAAUUCAAAAUAAUGUCGAUAAGUACUUGCUUCGUAAGCUUGAAUUGAUAUUUCUUUACGAACGAAUAUUUUAUGCAUGUUCUAAAUUUGUUACAUAAUAUAUUCACAUCGUGAUAACGCAGGAUAAAAUACUUAAGCAUUUUGGAAUGCACGAUGAAAUUGUGCAAAUACGAAAGAAUUAUGAGCAACCAAAAUGUUUAGAGUUUAGAAGCAUAACAUUUGAUUGUGCACGUUUGAAACUGUUGUACUGCAAGAGAUUUGUAUUUUACGAUAUUGAUAAUACUAGUAGUUUUAUCACUUUGCUAUAUAUCACGAUCAGAAUAAACAUUGUACGUUUCAUGUCAUGUAGAAGAAAGGAAUUGUUUUAACAAGUUGUAUAUAAUUUUGUUUUACUAACUAAAAUUUCUAUAUAGUAUAUAGUUUUGUUUUCAUUGAAAUUGGUUAUUAAGUAAUAUUUAAUUGGAAUUAUCUUAUUUGCCAAAAAGCAAUUGUUAUAUAUUGUUACAUAUGUAUGAUGAGACAAUUUGUUCGGAAUACCAAGAAUUAAUACAAAAUUAAAGGAUUUAUGUUUAUAUGAGAGUCAAGAAUGUAUUUUAAGCAAUCUCAGAAUACAAAAUCAUUGGUACGUGAAACAGAUUGAUGUAGGUAAUGGGUUAAAGACCUUGUUCAUUCAAAACGUUAACCUUCUUGUUAAAAAUACGAGUACAGCCAGCACGGAUAGGAUAGAGUGCUAUAAUUUUAAACUGCAAUUGCAAAAAAUUCCUCUCUUUUUUAUACAUAUUUUUGCUUUUACCAUAAAUUCUAAUAAAAUGUUGUGUGGUUCUGGACACAAGACAAAUUGUGUAUAAAUCAUCAUUUAUAAAAUUGAAUGCUAUCAUCCAAGUAACAAAAAUAAAUUACACAAUUCUGUGUGAACUUCUAUUCUUUAUAUGUUCAUCAAAAAUUUGCAGAUGUUAUUUUCAUCGUCAAACAAUUCAUAUUAUAUGAACAUAAUUAAAUACAAAAUUAAACCUAAACAGAUUGUUUCACUCGCUAGACUUAUUAUAACGAGUACGAAAUUUCUGAUAUUUUGUAUAUUUUUGUAUGUUAUAUGCAGUUGAAGAAUUUUCAUGCUUAAAAAUUGCCCAUGAAUGCAUGAAUACACGCAGUCUAUCAAUCAUUUAAAGUAUUAUUCAACAAUGCUGCUCAACCAUACGCUCAAUUCGCAUGCGCUCGUAAUUCGUAUUUUAUUGUCAGUUUACAUAAUUGAGAAUUUAUCGGCUGAAGUGAACUGAUUGUUUCGAGUUUAUCAUUAAUGUGUGUGAGAUUGCUUUUUUUACAAUGUUAACAAGACUUGGCAUGUAAUCUUAAUCGUGAAAACAAAAUAUAAACUAAUAAAUCGGUUAAAAUAUGAUGACAUUUUAACUGCAUUUGUCAAUAUGGAGAAAUAGGUCAAGGCAUUGUAAUACGUUAUCAUUUCACUAUAUUUUUAUUCUUACGUUUCAAUUAUGAUUACACGAAGAACCACCAAUUAUUAUUAUCAGUAAGAAGACAUUAAUUGGAAAUAAACAAGAGUUUAGGACGCAAGUGUCAAUAAGAAAUAUCGUUUCUUAUUUAUGUAUUUCGAAUUUCCAAGAUACAAUCAAAUGCUAAUUCUGUGAAAUUUUCAGUUAACAAUUAAGAAGAGUGCAAACGAAACUAAUAAGGUAUAGAUGGUAAAUGGUCAAUACUAAUGACUCAGGAAAGAAUUUUAUUUUUAUCGUGACAAUCAUCAGUUGCACAUAUCGAAAACAUUGCAUAACACAUUUAACAUUUAACAUGUUACAGUUUGAACUUAGUUAAACUAUUUAAAUUAGAAAUUAUUUAUUGUUAGUACUGAUGGACUUUUAUUUAUUUCGAUCACUGUAAAAUGCUACAAGACAUUAAAAUGUUAAUAGUCUUUGAAAACAUAGUUUCAGAAAAAAGUAGUUAGUAUAUUAUUCAUUAAUGAAUACGAUAAAGUAUAUAUAUAUUAGGAUUUUCAAGGUUACAUGCAUAUGUCGACAUUGUAUUAUUUAUGAAAUAGCGUAAUUCAUAAUGAUAGAAUUUACAAUUACUAACUGUUGCUUUCUUGGUAGAAAUGUUAGACGAUGUGAUAAGAAAUAUCUAUAAAAUAUUAGAAUACAAAGCAUCAAAUUAUUAUUCAGGGACUUGUAAGAUUAGGGAACAUAUAUGCACAUUGGCAAAUAGAAUGGAAAGGAAACUAUACACUAUACAACUAAUAUAUGUAUUUAAAUAAUUACGAAUUUUCAACUUAUAUUCAAAUAUUUAUGUCAAUCAAUUAUUUGCACGAUUUCUAGAAUGAAUCUUUAGUUAUUAAUUGAAAUGAAUCUUCUGACUGUAAAAUUUAAAAGCUUCAUGCAAUAAAACUUUAUUAUUAUUAAUUAAACUGCAAACUGCGAUGCCUAUAAAAUACUAUUUUAGGUUUUACGUGGAGAGUGUUAUUCUUAUGCGAUUAUACAAGACUUUUCGCAAUAUGUAUUUUGUAAGUGCUCUUGUAAAAUGUAAUUAAAUGAGAUGAGUUAAUCAGCAAAAUGUCUAUAAGUUGCUAUUAUAUACUAUUUGAAAGUAUAUAAUAAAUAAUUUCGUAUUAUUAAGCACAAAAAUAUGUAAAUAAAUGAAGAUUAUAUAAAAAAUUCUUACGUAAAACUGUAAAAUUUUUGACUCUCUUAGUCAAUAAAAUGUACCAUUAUAAAUAAAAUUCUUGAUAAAUUUCAUAUAUGCAAAAUAAUUCAAUGGAUAGUUAUCAAUAUAUUAUAUAUUAUAUUGCAUCGUAUUGCAUUGCAUUGCGUUGUAUUGUAUUGCAACGAACAAAUGAAAUAAAAAAUUCAAAUAAACAGUUAUUUUAAAUAUAAGCUAACGGUAUUUCAAAUAUAUUUCUUCUAUAUGACACAAAAUAUAUGUAUAUAAAAAUUUGUGAUUGUAAUUACAAAAAUUCUUAUAAGUAUGUAGGUGAUGUGGAAAAAUAAAAUGAAAUUUUGAAUAGAAGGUCAGUCUAAAUGUUAAGUUCCAGUGACAUUAAAAUUUUAAAUAAAACUUGGAGUUAAAAAAAUAAAACUACUGGAGUCCUUGAAUUUUCAUAUUCCAUUUCAUAUUUAAGAACACUUCUUUAACAUAAAAUUGAAACGAAAUGCAUGAGUGUUAAUAACAUUUGUGAAACUUAAGAAAUUCUUUAACAGCAGAAAAACAUGCUUGAGUUAUAAAAAGAAGCUAAAGAACGCAGCAGGAUCAAACACUAUAUUGUUUUCUUCAAUAGAGUAAAUUAACCGAUUAACGAGUCGUCAUUGACGACUCGUCAAACAAAUCGUACACUGUACCAUAUAACGUACGUAUAUUGUACAUUAUAUGGUGCUGUACGAAAAUAUUCGAAUACCAACCGUAAAAUAUUUUUAUGUUUAUAUUGUACGUGUCAGAUAAAUUCCGAAAUUUGAUCAAUACUGUAAUAAAAUACGAUUAUCGUGAUUACAUCGGUCAAAUUUGAAACCAAUAUAAAAAUUUAUACACAUGGAAGUUGAUGAAGAUGUUUUAAUCCUUCAAAUGCAGGUGUAUUUUGGCAAAUUGUUCCUUGGUAGCGUAAAAAAAUGACAAAGCAAAAUACAACACUAUUACCAAUAAAAUACAUGCCAAUAAUUUUAUUUUGAAUCCAAUUUUCUCAUUUUGAGAUAUAAGCUUCUACGAACUUUCACACAUAAAUACACACGCUAGCUAACACAUAUAUUAUAUAUUAUAUUAUUAUAUUUAUUCUAUCCAUGUCUUUCGGCUUCGGAUGACUUCCAGUUACAUCCUCAUUUACGUCUUUACCUACAUUCUAUCUGAGAGUUCUACAAACUAAUUGUCUUAUACAGUCGAAGUUUUAGUAACUUGAACCUCAAGGGAAGAACUAAAAUCUUCGAGUUACAGAGGUUUCGACACAUCACAAUCUUCGUAUAAAAGAAGUUUAACGAACAAAAAUUCGAUAUAUAGAAACUUUGUACGAAGGCACAAUUGCAUUCAUCUUUUCAGAAAGUGUUGGUAUUUUAAGCUUUAUUUUAGAACUCAUUUUACUUAAUGUAAAUAAAUGUAAAAGUUAAAGGCAUGAGAAAUGAUGGCAAUUGUGCGU